GACGAACGCUGGCGGCGUGCCUAAUACAUGCAAGUUGAGCGAUGAAGAUUGGUGCUUGCACCAAUUUGAAGAGCAGCGAACGGGUGAGUAACGCGUGGGGAAUCUGCCUUUGAGCGGGGGACAACAUUUGGAAACGAAUGCUAAUACCGCAUAACAACUUUAAACAUAAGUUUUAAGUUUGAAAGACGCAAUUGCAUCACUCAAAGAUGAUCCCGCGUUGUAUUAGCUAGUUGGUGAGGUAAAGGCUCACCAAGGCGAUGAUACAUAGCCGACCUGAGAGGGUGAUCGGCCACAUUGGGACUGAGACACGGCCCAAACUCCUACGGGAGGCAGCAGUAGGGAAUCUUCGGCAAUGGACGAAAGUCUGACCGAGCAACGCCGCGUGAGUGAAGAAGGGUUUCGGAUCGUAAAACUCUGUUGGUAGAGAAGAACGUUGGUGAGAGUGGAAAGCUCAUCAAGUGACGGUAACUACCCAGAAAGGGACGGCUAACUACGUG
rnacentral:rRNA from 1 species